ACAGCUUCCGGAAGGCAGGAACGGAGAUGUGCCCACCGUAAAGGCUCUUAGUCAAGGGAGAAGGAGGACGGGAGAGGAGAACCACUUCACCUGGGAAGUGGGACGGAUGGGGUGAGCAAGAGGAAGCAAAAGAACAGCAUACCCGAAAGUGAAGAAUCGAGUAAAUUCUUCAGAAAGUCUAACCUGAGUCAUUCUUAUCUCAAAUUAUGACGGACACUCACCGGAAGUGGAAAGAGGACAAUAGCUGAGAGAAAGAGGAAAGCAGAGGGAGAAAGAGAAACAUCAGUGUGAGAGUGGAACAUUGAUUGGCUGCCUCCUGCUUGCCGCCCUACUGCUUGCCGCCCAGGCCGGGACUCGAAC